rnacentral:rRNA from 1 species
GAUGAACGCUGGCGGCGUGCCUAAUACAUGCAAGUCGAGCGAAUGGAUUGAGAGCUUGCUCUUAUGAAGUUAGCGGCGGACGGGUGAGUAACACGUGGGUAACCUGCCCAUAAGACUGGGAUAACUCCGGGAAACCGGGGCUAAUACCGGAUAACAUUUUGAACCGCAUGGUUCGAAAUUGAAAGGCGGCUUCGGCUGUCACUUAUGGAUGGACCCGCGUCGCAUUAGCUAGUUGGUGAGGUAACGGCUCACCAAGGCAACGAUGCGUAGCCGACCUGAGAGGGUGAUCGGCCAAACUGGGACUGAGACACGGCCCAGACUCCUACGGGAGGCAGCAGUAGGGAAUCUUCCGCAAUGGACGAAAGUCUGACGGAGCAACGCCGCGUGAGUGAUGAAGGCUUUCGGGUCGUAAAACUCUGUUGUUAGGGAAGAACGAGUGCUAGUUGAAUAAGCUGGCACCUUGACGGUACCUAACCAGAAAGCCACGGCUAACUACGUGCCAGCAGCCGCAGUAA